AUGAUGUCUGGCUUUGGUACAAAUUCAGCCAUGGGUUCUUCGUCUCUCCCUUCUAGAGUUGUGUAUAACACAGGUAACGAUUUGCCGGUGGAAUACAUAUAUGACCAGGGUCUUUCUUAUCCAGCUACCAACGGAUAUGCUUACUAUGCAGGAUUUGAGCCACCUGUUGGAUGGAGUGAAAACACUAAUUAUUGGGGGGUAGAUGGUCAAUAUCUCCAACUGACGAACGACAAUCUUCCUUAUGUGUAUUGCACACCUGGCUAUGAAUUUUCUUAUUCUUCACAAGAUCAGUACACUUCCUAUAUGCCUGGCAUGUUCAUGGGAGUUGAUGGCUCAGUUGUAGGAAGUCAACAGUAUUUCACUAAUCCAUAUCAGCCUCCUGGCUCGCCAUCUGGUUACUUCCCAGUAUAUCUCCAGCCCACCACAGAUUUGAGCUCAGCAGUUUCUUUGGAGCCUCCUGUAUUCAGUACUGGCACAUCUGUUGCUAGUAGGCCUGUUAAUACUAGCAUAAAAGAUACACAUCAAAUGUCUGGAAAUACAAUGGCUUCUCGGACUGUCUCUUCUGCAAGUCCAGCUAUUGGUUCCUCCCAUCAUGCUUACCAGAAUCAAAGCACGAAUAAACCUUCUGAUCUGCCAGGUGCUAAUGUGGCGAGGCAUGACAAGCCUUCAACCUCACAUUUGACAGUUCUGGUUGAUACUGACAAGAAUUUUCAGGCUGCUUCAGGUAUGGGGAGCUCUGGGGACAAUGGACAAAUUACAGACAGGACAGAAGUUGUGCCAGUGGCUGCCAUGGUGGGUGAAGGUGCCCAAUCCAAAGCAGUGUCAAGCAGUGCAGUGAAAAACAUUGUGAUACAUCCUGACCAAUAUAAUAAGGCCGACUUCCCUUGUGAUCAUCCAGAUGCCAAGUUUUUUGUCAUUAAAUCUUACAGUGAGGAUGACGUGCAUAAGAGUAUCAAAUAUAAUGUGUGGUCCAGCACACCCAAUGGCAACAGAAGGCUGGAUGCUGCCUACUCAGAAGCAAAAGGGAGUCAACGGAAGUGUCCAAUAUUUCUGUUCUUUUCGGUUAAUACAAGCGGGCAGUUUUGUGGUGUUGCUGAAAUGGUCGGCCCUGUGGAUUUUCACAAAGACAUGGAUUUCUGGCAGCAAGAUAAGUGGUCUGGGAGCUUCCCACUGAAGUGGCAUCUAGUAAAGGAUGUGCCGAAUUCCACCUUUCGACACAUCAUAUUAGAGAACAACGAGAACAAGCCUGUUACCAACAGCCGAGAUACACAAGAGAUGCCUUAUAAGUCGGGAAUAAACAUGCUAAAGCUAUUUAAGAGUAGUCCAAUGACGACAUCGAUUCUUGAUGACUUCCCUUUCUAUGAAGGGAGGCAGAAAGCAAUGCUAGAACAGAAGCGCAGAAGUUUGGGCAGAAGUUUUGGUGGACUUACUUAUGUUCCAGCACUUGUUGCUAAAAGGAGUGUUGUUGUGGAGGGUGAACCUUCUGAAGUAGGUGAAGGCAUUAGCAGCAAAGAUCCACAUCCAGGGAAAACUGGAGAGGAUAGUGGUGCUUGUGAGCAACCUGACAAGACAAGCCAAACGAAAGAUGGAGUGGUUACACAAGUACUGAAAAAGGAUGCAGUGUCACCUGUUGAGCAACCUGAACAUGUAAAAACAGAACGGCAUAGCUUAGAUGAUAUUCAUCAUGAACAGAAUGAGGGCUGUUCCGUUUCUGUGUCACCAGAAAAUGCUGGAAGGGAACAUGCUGGCUUGAGCGAACUGGUAAAAUCUAAUGGAAAAGUUUAUAGUGACCGUGAAUCACAACCUGUUAUAAGCUCAACUGAACCCAAUAGUUCUGGACGAAAAGGUCUUUCUCAGGAGUCUGGUGGUCACGACCCAUCAGAUCGCAUGAAAGGCGGUGCAUCUGGGAUAACGAAGGAUGUCAAGGCUACAUUGCUCAAGAAAACAGAAGGCUUAUCAACUAGCCAUAUGGAUGGGCAAGCAAAAGGCAUUGUUAACGAGGCUCCAACUGGUGUUGUUAAGGUUGGCUCGGUGCACAUCAAACUAAAUGUGGCGGGGGGUUCGUCAUCUGAGAUUAUAGGUGAUGGUUCUCUUGAGCUGAAGGGAGCAGAACAUAUUGAGCAGGGCAUCUCAACAAAACUGAUUGGUUUUUCAGCUUGA
rnacentral:rRNA from 1 species